rnacentral:rRNA from 1 species
GCAUGCCUUACACAUGCAAGUCGAGCGGCAGCGCGGGGGCAACCCUGGCGGCGAGCGGCGCACGGGUGAGUAAUGCAUCGGAACGUGUCCUCUUGUGGGGGAUAACCAGUCGAAAGACUGGCUAAUACCGCAUGAGAUCGCAAGAUGAAAGCAGGGGACCCGCAAGGGCCUUGCGCGAGAGGAGCGGCCGAUGCCCGAUUAGCUAGUUGGUGGGGUAAAAGCCUACCAAGGCGACGAUCGGUAGCUGGUCUGAGAGGACGACCAGCCACACUGGGACUGAGACACGGCCCAGACUCCUACGGGAGGCAGCAGUGGGGAAUUUUGGACGAUGGGGGCAACCCUGAUCCAGCCAUGCCGCGUGUGUGAAGAAGGCCUUCGGGUUGUAAAGCACUUUCGGACGGAACGAAAUUGCACGGGCGAAUAUCCCGUGUAGAUGACGGUACCGUAAGAAGAAGCACCGGCUAACUACGUGCCAGCAGCCGCGGUAAUACGUAGGGUGCGAGCGUUAAUCGGAAUUACUGGGCGUAAAGUGUGCGCAGGCGGCUGAGCAAGUCGAGUGUGAAAGCCCCGAGCUUAACUUGGGAAUUGCGCUCGAAACUACUUGGCUGGAGUGUGGCAGAGGAAGGUGGAAUUCCACGUGUAGCGGUGAAAUGCCUAGAGAUGUGGAGGAACACCAAUGGCGAAGGCAGCCUUCUGGGCCAACACUGACGCUCAUGC